GACGAACGCUGGCGGCGUGCUUAACACAUGCAAGUCGAACGAAGAGCGAUGGAAGCUUGCUUCCAUCAAUCUUAGUGGCGAACGGGUGAGUAACGCGUAAUCAACCUGCCCUUCAGAGGGGGACAACAGUUGGAAACGACUGCUAAUACCGCAUACGAUCUAAUCUCGGCAUCGAGGAUAGAUGAAAGGUGGCCUCUACAUGUAAGCUAUCACUGAAGGAGGGGAUUGCGUCUGAUUAGCUAGUUGGAGGGGUAACGGCCCACCAAGGCGAUGAUCAGUAGCCGGUCUGAGAGGAUGAACGGCCACAUUGGGACUGAGACACGGCCCAGACUCCUACGGGAGGCAGCAGUGGGGAAUCUUCCGCAAUGGACGAAAGUCUGACGGAGCAACGCCGCGUGAGUGAUGACGGCCUUCGGGUUGUAAAGCUCUGUUAAUCGGGACGAAAGGCCUUCUUGCGAAUAGUGAGAAGG
rnacentral:rRNA from 1 species